rnacentral:rRNA from 1 species
AGUGAACGCUGGCGGUAGGCCUAACACAUGCAAGUCGAACGGCAGCACAGUAAGAGCUUGCUCUUACGGGUGGCGAGUGGCGGACGGGUGAGGAAUACAUCGGAAUCUACUUUUUCGUGGGGGAUAACGUAGGGAAACUUACGCUAAUACCGCAUACGACCUACGGGUGAAAGCAGGGGAUCUUCGGACCUUGCGCGAUUGAAUGAGCCGAUGUCGGAUUAGCUAGUUGGCGGGGUAAAGGCCCACCAAGGCGACGAUCCGUAGCUGGUCUGAGAGGAUGGUCGGCCACACUGGAACUGAGACACGCACCAGACUCCUACGGGAGGCAGCAGUGGGGAAUAUUGGACAAUGGGCGCAAGCCUGAUCCAGCCAUACCGCGUGGGUGAAGAAGGCCUUCGGGUUGUAAAGCCCUUUUGUUGGGAAAGAAAAGCAGCAGGUUAAUACCCCGCUGUUCUGACGGUACCCAAAGAAUAAGCACCGGCUAACUUCGUG